UGUUUAAAUAGUUUAAAAAAAAUACUAAUUUGUGAUGUUAGUGAUAUGAUAUAUCAUUUUAGAC
rnacentral:tRNA from 1 species